AGUCGAGCGGCAGCGACUUAACUGAACCUUCGGGGAACGUUAAGGGCGGCGAGCGGCGGACGGGUGAGUAAUGCCUGGGAAUAUGCCCUGAUGUGGGGGAUAACUAUUGGAAACGAUAGCUAAUACCGCAUAAUCUCUUCGGAGCAAAGAGGGGGACCUUCGGGCCUCUCGCGUCAGGAUUAGCCCAGGUGGGAUUAGCUUGUUGGUGAGGUAAUGGCUCACCAAGGCAACGAUCCCUAGCUGGUCUGAGAGGAUGAUCAGCCACACUGGAACUGAGACACGGUCCAGACUCCUACGGGAGGCAGCAGUGGGGAAUAUUGCACAAUGGGGGAAACCCUGAUGCAGCCAUGCCGCGUGUGUGAAGAAGGCCUUCGGGUUGUAAAGCACUUUCAGUAGGGAGGAAGGUAGUGUAGUUAACACCUGCAUUAUUUGACGUUACCUACAGAAGAAGCACCGGCUAACUCCGUGCCAGCAGCCGCGGUAAUACGAGGGUGCGAGCGUUAAUCGGAAUUACUGGGCGUAAAGCGCAUGCAGCGGCCUGUUAAGUCAGAGUGAAAGCCCGGGGCUUAACCUCGG
rnacentral:rRNA from 1 species